UUUCAGGGAGGAGCUCAGAGAGGCAGAGAAACGAAGCCGGAAAACAGAUUAAAACCAGGUUUGAACGUAUCUUCUGUUUGUCAGUACCGUGAGAAAACUGAAUCACUGAGGAAGUCUGGAUGUUAAAACAAACUGCGGAGCUGCUGUUUUCGACUGCGGCUGGACGCUGAACACACCCGCACCGCGAAGUCCCCGAUAAGUCGGCAUCCCCGGCGUUGUCCAUAACCUCAGAGACAUUGUGCACGAUCACAGAGAGUCUUUGAACAAUAAGGAAGUUCUUUGAGACCAGGACAGAGGCCUCCAGGUGUCACCACUUCGUCCACGACGUCGUCCACCAUCGCAGAGACAUGGUCCACGAUCAGAGAGACAUUGUUGAGGAUGAGGGAGACAUCGUCCACGAUCAGAGACAUUGUCCACGAUCGCAGAGACCUUGUCAAAGACGAGAGAGGCGUUGUCCAUGAUCAGAGACAUUGUCCCAUGCUUCGCAGAGCUCUGCGCAAGAAUCGGUAGAGACACUGUGGUUCCUCGAUUCGACGGCAUGACCGCGAUCAGGAGACAUUGUUAAUGAUCAGAGAGACACCGUCUAUGAUCUCAGAGACAUCGUCCACGAUCACAAAGACAUCGUCAAUGAUCACAGAGACUUUGUCCAUAAUCUCAGAGACAUUGUCCGUGAUCACAGAGACGUAGUCCGCGAUCACAGAGAGACAUCGUCCAAAACUUGGUAUGUAAUUAAUUUAGUACCGAAUAUAAUAAGAACUGGUUAAUGGUGUCUAUUAAAUCUGAGAAAGUACUAACUGUAAUCGCUCAGAGCUCAAGGUGACGUUUUCAGAUGUCUCGCUUUGCUUAAUUAA